rnacentral:lncRNA from 1 species
CCUUUUUAUCAUCCUUGAAUUUCUAUUGCUUGAAGGCCUCAAGUUAUCUUUCGAUCUGCUGCAGUUCUUCAUCCUGAUGGAAAAUCAACUCCUGAGAUUCCUGAAGAGCCUCCUUAGUAAAAUUGAGUUUCUAGACUAGCUCAGUAUUAUUUCUUUCUAGCUGCUCUAAUUGAUACUUCAGCAAGUUAAUCUCCUCCUUUUCCAUUGUCAAAACAUUAAGAUUGAAACUUACGAGGCUCGCCAAACAUUCGUUCACAAACACAAGGGAUCUUAAAGCAUCG